rnacentral:rRNA from 1 species
CCCUACGGGGCGCAGCAGUGGGGGAUAUUGCACAAUGGGGGGAACCCUGAUGCAGCGACGCCGCGUGGGUGAAGAAGCGCCUCGGCGCGUAAAGCCCUGUCAGCAGGGAAGAAAAUGACGGUACCUGAAGAAGAAGCCCCGGCUAACUACGUGCCAGCAGCUGCGGUAGUACGUAGGGGGCAAGCGUUAUCCGGAUUUACUGGGUGUAAAGGGGGCGCAGACGGCGAUGCAAGCCAGGAGUGAAAGCCCGGGGCCCAACCCCGGGACUGCUCUUGGAACUGCGGGGCUGGAGUGCAGGAGGGGCG